UACGGAGGAUGCAAGCGUUAUCCGGAUUUAUUGGGCGUAAAGCGUCCGUAGGUGGCAAACCAAGUCAGUUGUUAAAGCGUAGAGCUUAACUCUAUAAGGGCAAUUGAAACUGGUUAGCUAGAGUGCGAUAGGGGCAAGGGGAAUUCCCAGUGUAGCGGUGAAAUGCGUAGAUAUUGGGAAGAACAUCGGUGGCGAAGGCGCCUUGCUGGGUCUGCACUGACACUGAGGGACGAAAGCUAGGGGAGCGAAAGGG
rnacentral:rRNA from 1 species